rnacentral:rRNA from 1 species
UACGUAGGGUGCAAGCGUUGUCCGGAAUUAUUGGGCGUAAAGAGCUCGUAGGCGGUCUGUUGCGUCGGCUGUGAAAACCCGGGGCUCAACUCCGGGCCUGCAGCCGAUACGGGCAGACUAGAGUUCGGCAGGGGAGACUGGAAUUCCUGGUGUAGCGGUGAAAUGCGCAGAUAUCUGGAGGAACACCGGUGGCGAAGGCGGCAUCCUGGACCGGUAUUGACGCUGAGGCGCGAAAGCUAGGGGAGCAAACGGG